rnacentral:rRNA from 1 species
ACGGCUCGGUAACACGUGGACAACCUACCCAAAAGUCCGGGAUAACCCCGGGAAACUGGGGAUAAUACCGGAUAGAUCAAACUUGCUGGAAGGCUGUUUGGUUGAAACUUCCGGGGCUUUUGGAUGGGUCUGCGGCUGAUUAGGUUGUUGCCGGUGUAACGUACCGUCAAGCCUGUAAUCAGUACGGGUUGUGGGAGCAAGAGCCCGGAGAUGGAUUCUGAGACACGAAUCCAGGCCCUACGGGGCGCAGCAGGCGCGAAAACUCUACAAUGCAGGCAACUGCGAUAGGGGAACAUCGAGUGAUACUCAUCUUGGGUGUCUGUCCUCCCGUCUAAAAAACGGGAGUUAGCAAGGGCCGGGCAAGACCGGUGCCAGCCGCCGCGGUAAUACCGGCGGCUCGAGUGGUGGCCGAUAUUAUUGAGUCUAAAGGGUCCGUAGCCGGCUUUGCAAGUCUUUUGGGAAAUCCAGCGGCUUAACCGUUGGUCGUCCGGGAGAUACUACAUUGCUUGGGACUGGGAGAGGUAGGAGGUACUCAGGGGGUAGGAGUGAAAUCCUGUAAUCCUUUGGGGACCACCGGUGGCGAAGGCGUCCUACCAGAACAGGUCCGACGGUGAGGGACGAAAGCUAGGGGCACGAACCGGAUUAGAUACCCGGGUAGUCCUAGCCGUAAACGAUGCUCGCUAGGUGUCACAACAAUCGUGAAUUGUUGUGGUGCCGUAGGGAAGCCGUGAAGCGAGCCACUUGGGAAGUACGACCGCAAGGUUGAAACUUAAAGGAAUUGGCGGGGGAGCAC